AUUCCAUGGGUCACUGGUUCCAAGGAGCCACUUAUCGUUGGCCAUCCCAAAGGAAGGUACCCUAAAGGGAGAAAGCCUUUUGGGGAGAUGUUUUGGUAUCUUCUUGUGGCGUGGCAGACUAGUUUUCAGCUCCAGCUUAUCACUGAAGCAAAGGUGGGUUUUCACCUCUGACUUAUUAUUUCUGUGAUGGAAAAUUUGUGCCCUGUGCACAAGGGCCUGGCAAUAAGCAACCCGUCAAGGAGGGAAGAAAUGAAGAUUCUUAAUCACAGAGAUGUUUUUAAAGAGUUUCUGCUGUAACAAGUGACUCCCUUAGUGGCUGUAUAACAUAUGAAAUGUUUCACCAAGAUUUCUUUGUUCAGAAAAUGCUUAUUAAUGAGAAAUAAACUCUUUUUCUCUUUUGCUUCUUUU